rnacentral:rRNA from 1 species
GUGGGGAAUUUUGGACAAUGGGCGCAAGCCUGAUCCAGCAAUGCCGCGUGCAGGAAGAAGGCCUUCGGGUUGUAAACUGCUUUUGUACGGAACGAAAAGGCUCUGGUUAAUACCUGGGGCACAUGACGGUACCGUAAGAAUAAGCACCGGCUAACUACGUGCCAGCAGCCGCGGUAAUACGUAGGGUGCAAGCGUUAAUCGGAAUUACUGGGCGUAAAGCGUGCGCAGGCGGUGCUGUAAGACAGGCGUGAAAUCCCCGGGCUCAACCUGGGAAUUGCGCUUGUGACUGCAGUGCUGGAGUACGGCAGAGGGGGAUGGAAUUCCGCGUGUAGCAGUGAAAUGCGUAGAUAUGCGGAGGAACACCGAUGGCGAAGGCAGUCCCCUGGGCCUGUACUGACGCUCAUGCACGAAAGCGUGGGGAGCAAACAGGAUUAGAUACCCGUGUAGUCC